GUAGGUCCCGAGCGUUGUCCGGAUUUAUUGGGCGUAAAGCGAGCGCAGGCGGUUAGAAAAGUCUGAAGUGAAAGGCAGUGGCUCAACCAUUGUAGGCUUUGGAAACUGUUUAACUUGAGUGCAGAAGGGGAGAGUGGAAUUCCAUGUGUAGCGGUGAAAUGCGUAGAUAUAUGGAGGAACACCGGUGGCGAAAGCGGCUCUCUGGUCUGUAACUGACGCUGAGGCUCGAAAGCGUGGGGAGCGAACAGGAUUAGAUACCCUGGUAGUCCACGCCGUAAACGAUGAGUGCUAGGUGUUGGGUCCUUUCCGGGACUCAGUGCCGCAGCUAACGCAUUAAGCACUCCGCCUGGGGAGUACGACCGCAAGGUUG
rnacentral:rRNA from 1 species